AUUGAACGCUGGCGGCAGGCCUAACACUGCAAGUCGAGCGGAAACGAGUUAUCUGAACCUUCGGGGAACGAUAAAGGCGUCGAGCGGCGGACGGGUGAGUAAUGCCUAGGAAAUUGCCCUGAUGUGGGGGAUAACCAUUGGAAACGAUGGCUAAUACCGCAUGAUGCCUACGGGCCAAAGAGGGGGACCUUCGGGCCUCUCGCGUCAGGAUAUGCCUAGGUGGGAUUAGCUAGUUGGUGAGGUAAGGGCUCACCAAGGCGACGAUCCCUAGCUGGUCUGAGAGGAUGAUCAGCCACACUGGAACUGAGACACGGUCCAGACUCCUACGGGAGGCAGCAGUGGGGAAUAUUGCACAAUGGGCGCAAGCCUGAUGCAGCCAUGCCGCGUGUAUGAAGAAGGCCUUCGGGUUGUAAAGUACUUUCAGUCGUGAGGAAGGCGGCGUCGUUAAUAGCGGCGUUGUUUGACGUUAGCGACAGAAGAAGCACCGGCUAACUCCGUGCCAGCAGCCGCGGUAAUACGGAGGGUGCGAGCGUUAAUCGGAAUUACUGGGCGUAAAGCGCAUGCAGGUGGUUUGUUAAGUCAGAUGUGAAAGCCCGGGGCUCAACCUCGGAAUAGCAUUUGAAACUGGCAGACUAGAGUACUGUAGAGGGGGGUAGAAUUUCAGGUGUAGCGGUGAAAUGCGUAGAGAUCUGAAGGAAUACCGGUGGCGAAGGCGGCCCCCUGGGCAGAUACUGACACUCAGAUGCGAAAGCGUGGGGAGCAAACAGG
rnacentral:rRNA from 1 species